rnacentral:rRNA from 1 species
UGCCAGCAGCCGCGGUAAUUCCAGAGCCCCGAGCGUUAUCCGAAAUUACUGGGCGUAAAGGGUGCGUAGGUGGUUGUAUUAGUCGUGAGUUAAAGACUCGAGCUCAACUCGAGGAAGGCUCACGAAACGGUACGACUAGAGUGUAGGAGAGGUAUACGGAACUCUCGGUGUAGGGGUGAAAUCCGUUGAUAUCGAGGGGAACACCAAAUGCGAAGGCAGUAUACUGGCCUAUCACUGACACUGAGGCACGAAACCCUGGGUAGCGAAUGGGAUUAGAUA